AUGUUUUCAGAAUAUAUAAAAAAUACUGAGCGCAAGAAGUUCACCAGGAGAGCCACACCUUGCCCACAAGGGUGGGGGCGCGCCCUACCCCCCUGGGCGCGCCGCCUACCUCGUGGGCCCCCUGGUGGCCCUCCGAUGGCCAUGUUUUGCUAUAUGGAGUCUUUUGAUGAGAAAAAAAUCAUAAGCCAUCUCCUCGGACGAAACUCCGGCGCCACGAGGAGGAACCUUGGCGGAUCCAAUCUAGGGCUUCGACAGAGCUGUUCUGCCGGGGAAACUUCCCUCCGAGAGGGGGAAAUAAUCACCAUCGUCAUCACCAACGCUCAUCUCAUCGGGAGAGGGAAAUCUCCAUCAACAUCUUCACCAGCACCAUCUCCUCUCAAAACCCUAGUUCAUCUCUUGUAUCCAAUUCUUGUCUUCAAGUCCGGGAUUGGUACUAGUAGGUUGCUAGUAGUGUUAAUUACUCCUUGUGGUUGA
rnacentral:rRNA from 1 species